GAUGAACGCUGGCGGCGUGCCUAAUACAUGCAAGUCGAGCGAAUGGAUUAAGAGCUUGCUCUUAUGAAGUUAGCGGCGGACGGGUGAGUAACACGUGGGUAACCUGCCCAUAAGACUGGGAUAACUCCGGGAAACCGGGGCUAAUACCAGAUAACAUUUUGAACCGCAUGGUUCGAAAUUGAAAGGCGGCUUCGGCUGUCACUUAUGGAUGGACCCGCGUCGCAUUAGCUAGUUGGUGAGGUAACGGCCCACCAAGGCAACGAUGCGUAGCCGACCUGGGAGGGUGAUCGGCCGCACUGGGACUGAGACACGGCCCAGACUCCUACGGGAGGCAGCAGUAGGGAAUCUUCCGCAAUGGACGAAAGUCUGACGGAGCAACGCCGCGUGAGUGAUGAAGGCUUUCGGGUCGUAAAACUCUGUUGUUAGGGAAGAACAAGUGCUAGUUGAAUAAGCUGACACCUUGACGGUACCUAACCAGAAAGCACCGGCUAACUUCGUGCCAGCAGCCGCAGUAA
rnacentral:rRNA from 1 species